UGCUAUCCCUCCCCCUUCUUGCUAGCCGAUGAAAGCCAGCCAGCCCUCUAGAGGCAGCUCCUCAGAGUUCCCCUUGUACUCUGAAAUCUGUCUCUUUGUCUCUCUUUUUCUUUAUGCCCCAUCUCACCCUUCACAGGUAACUGAGGGAUCAGCCCUUGGUAACUGGCACCUGAACAGGGACGCUGAGACCUGGAGGGGAAGACUUGCCAGAGUGGGAAAGGAACAGGAAGAGACAUCCGGGCACUCCAGGGGACAAACCCAGAAGCCAGCCAGCUGUUCAGGAAGGUAAGGGAAGGCCGCUGUGGGCGCCACCUCAGAAUGUGUGGCAUGGAGAGAGAUCUCCAAACCCGUGGUAGAGGAAGCUGCCACUAGGCCAACCAGUGCAAACUUUUGCAAGGAUGACCCUGGAGUAGAAACAUCAGCUGCUAAUGACUACAUAAGUAACAAAACCCAGGAUGGGGAGUCAAGUGAAAAAGAAGACUCAGGAAGCCAAAAAGAUGGUGGUGAGCCAGGUCCUGCCAUGUACCCCAGAAAAUAUGUUUAAUGCCAUGAUGGACACCAUUGCCUGCACGUCUGCGGCAAGGAAAACCAAACUAGAUGACACCUAGAUGCGUAAAACCUCAAGUCACACACAGUGUUUUGGCUGCUGCAGUUACAAAAACAAAAAGGAGGACCAGGCUAUGUGAUAGAUUAUAGAAGACUUGACUGUGUGUCCUGAGGUCAGUGGGAUUUUGCUUCAGGACACAGAAGUAUAAAGAAGGCCAAUAAGCCAGCAAUCCUAAGGCAAAAUAACAUCUGUGGACAGUUAUCAAAAUAUAGGCAUUUGGGUUUAGAGAAAAUCUGGCUCCUCAUUAACUUAAUCCUUAUCCACCCAUGACCUAAAAUUACUGUUCCAUGAAACAAGUGCUAGCCCAUCCUCGUGCUUCUUGCUAGCCAAUAACAGCCAACCAGCUGCACAGAUAACCAACCCAGUUCACCAGAGGCGAGCUCUUCCUGUCCCCAUCGCACCCUAAAGUUUGUCUCUUUGUCUUUCUUUAUUCUCCGUACUCACCCUACAGGUAUCCAGGGUCUGAUCAACCCUUGGUGAUUGGUCCCUGAAACAAUUCAACGCAACAAACAUGCAAAUGGCAUAUUCGAGAAGACAGUAGAACGAUGAACAGCAGAGAAACAGCCUCUCUGAGAUUCAGUGUCUAGAUGCUGGAAUAUAGCAACAUGAGGAGAGAAGAAAAAGGAAAGUGGGUUCCUGGUACCUAGCAAGAAUCUGAAGCAAGACUGUAAGCUCAAGGGCUGGGCAUGGUGGCACAAACUUGUAAUCCCAGCAACAGGAAGGCUGAAGCAGGAGUUUGAGGCAAGCCUGGGCUACAAAAUGAGUUCAAGGCCAGCCUGAACUGCGUAGAGACCUUUUACAAAGAGACAAAACAACCGUAAGAAUUUGUGCCCAUGGGAAGAGCAAAGAGAGAGACCUCAAGGGAAAAGAAGGAGGGGCAAGUGGCAUUUAUCCCUGAGCUCUGACUUGCUGCAUGGGAGGCGAUGCACAGGAACUACUGGCAACCCCAGAGGCCUCCAUGGAGAAAUGCACCAGUGGGACAGAACAUUGAACACAGCACUCUUCAGUGGCUGGUGAGUUAUUCAGAUUCAGACAUCUCUCAGGAGAAGGUGACUAGCUGGUCACCAUCUUGAUUAGCUCAGAACUCAGAGAACCUAUAGCCUGGCUCCAUCUCCCAGCUACUAGUGUCAGGGCAAGGUAGAAGCAAGUUCAAUUCAGCAAGAGGUCAGGGAGUCGAGUUCAAGCUAGCAAGAGGCACACAGAAUACUGUAGACUGAACAAAUUGGGUUCCAACCUCACAGCCAGAAACCAGCCUGAACUUCAGGGGAACUACAGGCGCAGGGUUGCUGGGACUAUCCACCAUCUUGCAUAAAUCUUUGACUGGCUUUCUGGGAUUAAUCAACAUAAAUCAGGGCUCUCUCUGUCUGCCCACUUUGUCUACAAGUGACAGCAGAGAAACGGAAGUGGACAUUUUUUUCUUUUCUUGUCCUUUUUUUGAUUGUUUCUCCUUGUUUUUAUAUAAAUGUGAUCCCUGUUUCUAGAUUUUUUGUUGUGGUUGUUCUGUUCUGUUCUUGUUUUUUGUUUCUUCUUUCAUUUUCCCCUUCUGUCUUCUUCAUCCGUUUCCCAAAGUUCCCCUAAUCCUCAUUUGUUUUCCAGCCUGGCUUCUAAUCUCUUCUACUUCUUCUGUUUUUCUAUUUCCUUCCCUAAAUACUGUAAGUUUUCUCCCCUGAGAGUAAACUUGCCACAUUGAGAUCAUAUUUACUGUAUAGAAUUUUCCAGUUUGUUUUAGAUUUUUUUAUGUAACUAAAAAUAUAGUUCAUAUAGGUAGAGAUGGCAAAUUCAUAAUUGCUGCAGCUUGUCAUUUUCUAGGCAGUUUGAUGCUAUUAUUAUUACUGAUUGUACUGAUUUAACCAAGGUGACAUAAUUGUUCUAAUCAGUUGUUCUUCCUUGUGUGCCAAGAUUGAGACUGCAAAAAGGUCAUAAACAAUACGAUAGGCCAGUGCCAAAGAACCAGGGCUUAGGCCACAUAGGCACCAAUUCCUCAUCCUCACCGAACUGAAGAGGUAGGAUCAUCUGAGAGACUCAAAACCCCAAAGCCAGCUACACCUGGAAGACAUCUCUGCGAAGUAAUCAUUUUCUAAGUGUUCUAAAAAGCUACCUUGCAUGAAAAAUUUAAAAGCAUCAACCCAGGAAUUCAGACAAACAAGGGAAAUGGGAAGACCCAGAAGUGAAAUACAACUCCAGUCUUCCAGCUUGCACAAGGCAAAACCAGGGGGAGAUGAGGCGGCAAAAUUCAAAAGCCCCCACCUGGACUCUCUGAAAUGGUAACAAAGCAGGUGAAAGAUGAAUGAGGCUACAGAAAAAAAUAAAAUCAGAAAUAAUUUCUCAGAUAACUACAGAGAUGGUGAUCAUAACGGACAUGGUUAGUGACUUGAGAGAAGAUUCAGAUAAAAAAAGUAGAAGAGUUUAAGAAUAUGAUGAAAAGCAUGAGCACCCAAAUAGGAAAGAAAUGGAACACAUGAUGCAGAUUCAAAAAGAUAUAAUUCAAAGAGAUAAUAAUCAUAAAUAUAUAUGCACCAAAUACCAGAGUACCCAACUACAUAAAAUAUAUAAAUGGACAUGAAAAAUCAAAUAAGUGCUAGUACAAUGGUAAUGGGAGACCUCAAUAUCCCAUGGUCAUAAUAGACAGAUCAACUAGAAAAAAAUUUAACAAAGAAAGCUGGGCAUAGUGGCACCCUCUUGUAGUCCCAGCAUUAGGGAGACUGACGCAUGAGGAGGGUUACAAAGUGAGUGUAAGACUAUCCUGAACUCUUGUCUUAAAAAGACCAAAAACAAAAAACAAAAAACAAAAAAAAAAGAAAAAACUUAAUAAUGAACCACAACUGAACCAAACUUUUGAACAAAUGGACUUAGUAGAUGUCUGCAGAGUGUUCUACCCCAUGACAUCAGAAUACACAUUCUUCUCAGUGGCACAUGGGAUGUUCUCCAAAGUAGACCACAUACUAGCUCAGAGAACACACUUAAGUAAAUGCAAAGGAAUUGAAAUCAUUCCAUGCAUAUUACCAGACCAAUGGUGCUGUGAAGUUGGAAACCAAUGGUGAAAGAAACCACAAGAACUUGAUAAACACAUGAAAAUUAAACAACAGCUUCCCGAACAACCAAUGAGUCACAGAUAAAAUUAAAGAAAGAAUAAAUUAGACAGUUUCUACAUUAAAUGAUAAUAUCAAUACAACACACUGGAAUUUAUGGGACUCAGUGAAAGUCCUAGGAGAGAAAUUUAUAGUGGUGAAUUCCUAUAUCAGAAAAACAGAGUGAACUCAAAUAAAUAUCUUAAUGUUAAACCUUAAGCUAUUAGAAAAAUAAGAGCAAGUCAAACCCUAUGAGGGAGAAAAUUAUAAAGAUCAGAGCAGAAAUUAAUGCACUGGAGACUAAGAAAAUGAUAAAAGAAAUCAAUGAAUAAAGGAGUUUGUUCUUUAGAAGGUUAAAUAAAACCAACAAAUCCUUAUCCAACCUUAUCAAAAAAAGAAAAGAGUAAAAAUCCAUGCAAUUAGGAAUGAAAAAGGUGAAACCACAAUGGGUCCUGCAGAAAUUCAGAAGAGCAUCAUUAUCUACUUUAAGAACUUGUACUCUAGUAAGAUGAAAAACACAGAAGAAAUGGACAGAUUGCUAGACACGUAUAAAUUACCAAAACUGAAUCAAGAAGAUACAAAAAUUCUAAAUAAACCAAUGUCAGUUAAUAAGAUUGAAGAUGUAAUUAAAAACCUACCAAUAAAGAAAAGCCCAGGUGCUGACAGAUUCACUGCUGACUUCUACAGAAAUUAAUAGAAGACCUAAUGUUACGACUUCUCAAACUUUUUAAUGAAAUAUAAAGGGAAGCAAAACUCCCAAAUUCAUUCCUAGAGGCAAAUAUUACCCUGGUACCCAAACCACAGAAGGACCCAACCUAAAAAGAGAACUACACACCAAUCUCCCUAGUGAAUAUAGAUGCAAAAAUCCUCACUAAGAUACUGGCAAAUAUACAAAUGCAGCAAAUCAUCAAGAUUAUACACCAUGACCAAGUAGGAUUCAUCCUCAGAAAUGGAAGGAUGGUUCAACACAUGUAAAUCAAUAAAUGUAAUAUACCAUAGUAACAACAAAACCAUCUCAAUAGGUGCAGAAAAAGGAUUUUACAAAAUUCAACACCCAUUCAUCAUAAAAACUCUACAGAAAAUUGGAAGAGAUGGUCUUUAGCCCAAUCUGACAAAAACCAUCUAUGACAAACCAACAACCACCAUCACACUAAAUGGUCAAAAACUGAAAGCAUUUCUUCUAAAGAUAGGACAAGGAUGUCCACUAUCACCACUGUUAUUUGAUAUUAUCUAGAGCAAUUAAAAGAAUAAAGAUGGGAAAGGAAACAGUGAAAUUAUCAUCGUUUGUGGAUGACAUGACACUUUACAUAGAAGACUCCAAACACUCCACCAGAAAACUAUGUUGAAUAAAUUCAGCAAUGCAGCUGAAUACAAAGUCAAUACUCAGGAACCAAUAGCCUUCUUGUCCAGAAGUAACAAACUCACUGAGACAGACAUUAUGGAAACAAUACCUUUCACAAUAAAUCCAAAAACUUCAAUCCAAAAUUCAAAAAAUCCAAAAAAAUACUUAGGAAUCAAUCUAACAAAGGAAAUAAAAGACUUUUACAUUGAAAAUACAGUACAGUACUCUGAAAAAAGAGACAGAAAUGUAUGUUAAAAAAUGGAAAAAUAUCCCUUAUUCUUGGGUAAUAACCAAUAUAGUGAAAAUGGUCAUACUUUCAACAUUGUUACUCAGAUGUGAUACAAUCCUGAUCAAAAUACCAAUAACAUAUCUCACAGAAUUAGACAAAACAAUCCUAAAAUUCAUUUGGAAUUAGAAGAGACAGAAUAGUGAAAGCAUUUCUGGGCAACAAAAGCAAGGCAGGAGGCAUCUGAAUCUCUGACUUGAACUUAGACUACAAAGCUACUGUGAUAAAAACAGCAUGGUACUGGAAAAAGGAGGGGAAACAGACUCAAGGAUCAACGGAACAGAUUAGGAGAUGCAGGGUUGGGGAUUUAGCUCAGGGGCACAAGUGCCUGCCUGGCAGGUACAAGGUCGUGAGUUUGAUCCCCAGUACAAAAAAAAAAAAAAAGAAAAAAAAAAUAGAAGAUGCAGAAACAACGCCAAACACAUUCAGCCAUCUUACCUUUGACAAAGGAGCCAAACACCUGCACUGGAACAAAUACACCCUCUUUAAUAAAUGGUGCUGGGGAAACUGGCUCUACACAUGCUGAAGAUUAAAACUAGACCUGUGCACUAAACUAAAAUUGAAGUGAAUCAAAGAUGUAAAAAUUAAAACAGAAACCUAAAUCUGUUGGAAGAUAGAAUAGGUAGAACUCUUGAGAUUGAUGUAGGCAAAGACUUUAUAAACAAAA